AACUGGUCCAAUAAGCUUCAAUUGGUGCACUCACCACUGCAUCAAACAGAACUUCCUGGAUCAAUUCUUUAUCACAUUGGAGCAAUGGCUCUUUUCCUGUGAGGUAGCGUUUAAUUGCUUCUAACUGAGUCAUUUGACGGUGUUCAGGAUGCAAGUCAGUGUUGCAGUAGGACCAUUCAUCUGCUAAAGAUACAUCAGGGUGUUCUAAAUCAUGUAAACCUUCUUCCACAGUUACAUUCCCUCUGAAGAAAUAUUUUCCAUGUCCUCUAGAGAGAGCCACACCUAAACCCUUUGUCCACUGUUUUCUUCACUUCCAUGGAGAAUUUUCCUGUUUUACGAUUCACCAUUGCAUUUCGAAGCACAUCAUCU
rnacentral:lncRNA from 1 species